CUGUGAAUGUCGGCAGGACCCUCCUGUUCCUGCUCUUGCUCCUGGCUGUCAUUGGGGGCUGUCACUGGUGGCACCGCCGGGCUCUCAGGAAAUCCCAGGACAGGAAUUCCGGUGGCUCUGCAGAGGAAAGAAUCCAUCAGGCUCCCGAUGGAAGGGCCCGUUAGCCGAGGAUGCAGAUGGAGAUGAGGGGUGGGACACCAGGAGGGACUCAGGGAGCCCUGAAAGCAGCACAGACAGCCCCUGACCUGAACUCCUGCAGCUUCUGCUGCCUGAGCUGGGCGAGGCGCUGGCUGUGCUGCCGGAUCUCCCGCUGCAGCCGCCGGCCCUCCUCAGUGACAGCCGCCCGCUCCCGCUGCCGCUGCCGCUCCUGGAUCUGCCGCUGGAGACCUUCGGCAUGGCCGCGCUGCCGGAGCUGCCUCUGCUCCUGCUCCAGCUUCUCCCGCUCCAGCUGCUCCUGAAGGGCCCUGAGGGAGAGCUGGGCUGGCUCAGUGUUGAAGAUUGCAAUGCAAGGUGUUUUUUCCAUUGCCAUCUGUAUGGCAGAUUAGCUUUGUCAAGUGGGCAGUUUGCUUUAUCUCUCUCUCUUUGAGUGACCACAUUCACACCUCCCUGGGAGGGGACAUCUGCUGAUAACAGCUAUGGAAUGUCCCUGCAUGGCUGAUAAGAGCUAGAACAUCCCAUUGGGAGAUGCCCCGCCCAGAGGGAGGAGCCAAGCAUUCCUACCCAGAUAUAAUCCAGAGGUUUGGAGACACCAGCACGGCUUCUCCACGGGAUUCCCCAGAGGAACAGCAGCAGCCUCUCCUUCCACUGGAUCCUCAGAGGCAGAAUCCAUCCUUCUCUACAGGACCCCCUUGCUCCAACAGAACCACCCCUGAUACUGCAGGAGGGCUGCAGCCACAUUUCCAAUGGGACUGCCACCAACACCCUGACCCAC